rnacentral:piRNA from 1 species
UUAGGUUCCAAAGGAAGCUGGAGAUGACCUA